UGGACCGAAAUUAAAGUAGGGAAGUAUGUGAGCUAGCUGCCAAGAAAAGCCGCUAUUGUUUAUUAUGUACCCGUACCGUAAACCGACACAGGUGGAUGAGGAGAGAAUCCUAAGGCCGACGGGAGAAGCAUUGUUAAGGAACUCGGCAAAAUGACCCCGUAACUUCGGGAGAAGGGGUGCCUGCAGAAAUGCAGGCCGCAGAGAAUAGGCUCAAGCAACUGUUUAGCAAAAACACAGGUCUAUGCAAAACCGAAAGGUGAAGUAUAUGGGCUGACGCCUGCCCGGUGCUGGAAGGUUAAGGGGAGGAGUUAGAGGUAACUCGAAGCUCUGAACUUAAGCCCCAGUAAACGGCGGCCGUAACUAUAACGGUCCUAAGGUAGCGAAAUUCCUUGUCGGGUAAGUUCCGACCCGCACGAAAGGCGUAAUGAUUUGAGCACUGUCUCGACAAUGCACCCGGUGAAAUUGAAAUACCAGUGAAGAUGCUGGUUACCUGCGCCAGGACGGAAAGACCCCAUGGAGCUUUACUCCAGCUUGAUACUGAAAUUUGGUAUUACAUGUACAGGAUAGGUGGGAGACUGUGAUCCGGUUACGCCAGUAGCCGAGGAGUCGAUGUUGGGAUACCACCCUUGUAGUAUUAGGUUUCUAACUCGUGUUCAUUAUCUGGGCAGAGGACAAUGUCAGGCGGGGAGUUUGACUGGGGCGGUCGCCUCCGAAAGGGUAUCGGAGGCGCUCAAAGGUCUCCUCAGAAUGGUUGGAAACCAUUCGCAGAGUGCAAAGGCAUAAGGAGGCUUGACUGUGACACCGACGGGUGGAGCAGGUACGAAAGUAGGACUUAGUGAUCCGGUGGUAUAAAGUGGGAUUGCCAUCGCUCAACGGAUAAAAGCUACCCUGGGGAUAACAGGCUUAUCACUCCCAAGAGUUCACAUCGACGGAGUGGUUUGGCACCUCGAUGUCGGCUCAUCGCAUCCUGGGGCUGUAGUAGGUCCCAAGGGUUGGGCUGUUCGCCCAUUAAAGCGGUACGCGAGCUGGGUUCAGAACGUCGUGAGACAGUUCGGUCCCUAUCCGGCGUAGGCGUAGGAUAUUUGAGAGGAGCUGACCUUAGUACGAGAGGACCGGGUUGGACGAACCUCUGGUGUAUCGGUUGCAUUACCAAGUGCAUGGCCGAGUAGCCAAGUUUGGAAGGGAUAAACGCUGAAGGCAUCUAAGCGUGAAGCCCCCCUCAAGAUAAGAUAUCCCAUAGCACAAGCUAGUAAGACCCCUGAAAGACGAUCAGGUUGAUAGGACAGAGAUGGAAGUGUGGUAACACAUGUAGUUGACUGUUACUAAUAGGUCGAGGGCUUAACCA
rnacentral:rRNA from 1 species